AAGACCUUACUCUUAGGGAUCAUUUCUAUAGUAAGUGUCGCCAGGACGUCAGGUAAAACUGACGGGACCCAAAACCACGAGGACGAGAAAUAGCACUCCCUUCUGAGCGCGAAGCGGGCACGGGCUGUCACCCUUUGGGAGACUUGGUCCGUGUCAUUGAUGAACGUUCCUCUCCUCCCUAAGUGGGGAGUUGGAGGAGGGGAGUGCAUUCUGAGUGGC